rnacentral:rRNA from 1 species
UACAGAGGGGGAAAGCGUUAUUAGGAAUUAUUGGGCGUAAAGGGCGCGUAGGCGGUUUCUUAAGUCAGAUGUGUAAUCCCCGAGCUUAACUUGGGAACUGCAUCUGAGACUGGGAGGCUAGAGUACUGGAGAGGGUGGUGGAAUUCCUCGUGCAGCGGUGAAAUGCGUAGAGAUGAGGAGGAACACUAGUGGCGAAGGCGGCCACCUGGACAGUAACUGACGCUGAGGCGCCAAAGUGUGGUUAGCAAACAGG